rnacentral:rRNA from 1 species
GACAGAGGGUGCAAACGUUGUUCGGAAUUACUGGGCGUAAAGCGAGUGUAGGCGGUGUGGUAAGUCGGGUGUGAAAGCCCCGGGCUCAACCUGGGAAUUGCAUUCGAGACUGCGUAGCUAGGGUGCGGAAGAGGGAAGCGGAAUUUCCGGUGUAGCGGUGAAAUGCGUAGAUAUCGGAAGGAACACCAGUGGCGAAAGCGGCUUCCUGGUCCAGCACCGACGUCAGGCACGAAAAGCGUGGGGGAGCAAACAGG